rnacentral:rRNA from 1 species
AGUGAACGCUGGCGGUAGGCCUAACACAUGCAAGUCGAACGGCAGCACAGGAGAGCUUGCUCUCUGGGUGGCGAGUGGCGGACGGGGGAGGAAUACAUCGGAAUCUACUUUUUCGUGGGGGAUAACGUAGGGAAACUUACGCUAAUACCGCAUACGACCUACGGGUGAAAGCAGGGGAUCUUCGGACCUUGCGCGAUUGAAUGAGCCGAUGUCGGAUUAGCUAGUUGGCGGGGUAAAGGCCCACCAAGGCGACGAUCCGUAGCUGGUAUGAGAGGAUGAUCAGCCACACUAGAACUGAGACACGGUCCAGACUCCUACGGGAGGCAGCAGUGGGGAAUAUUGGACAAUGGGCGCAAGCCUGAUCCAGCCAUACCGCGUGGGUGAAGAAGGCCUUCGGGUUGUAAAGCCCUUUUGUUGGGAAAGAAAUCCAGCUGGUUAAUACCCGGUUGGGAUGACGGUACCCAAAGAAUAAGCACCGGCUAACUUCGUGCCAGCCGCCGCAGUAA